GUUCCUUACAUUGUCAUAUCCCCAGAAGGAAAGCCAAAGAACAGCAGGUCCACCUCCCAUGAUCAAAACAAGGUUGCUGACUCCACAGUAGAGACGCAUCAUCGGCCCGAGGUGGGGAAAUCCCUUCAAGAAACAGAGUUUGGCUCCCGAAGACCUGUCUUGGAUCACAAAGUGGAAAGUGGCCCCGGAGAAUUCAAAUACCAGAGCCCAGGUUCUCAAGUCACAGAGUUCUCUGAACAUGAAUCAGACACAUCAAAGGCUCACACUUUCACCAGGGAAAACCGAGAUGCUCUCCCAGGAGCGAGAGACGACGUGCCCGCCCACCUUGAUAACGAUGAGAACCUUGACUCGAAAAGGACUCUCUCUGGUUUUGAAACGAAGACCACGCAAGAGGCAGCAUGCGAGGCUCCCAGUGACAAUGAAUACAAAAAAGUAGAGGCUUACCUGG